UCACACAUCUGACUGUCUGCUGAAAUCUCGCCAUCGCUUUUUUAUUUCUAUAUAUAUUCCAUCUCUGCCCCCAUAGUCUUCUCGAUUACCGAACAUUUUGCCUUCUUUUCUGAUUAUCUGGAUCUUCCAGAUGGUUGAAGAAUCUCAAAUUUCGGUUUUUCCAUUAUGAUUGCAAAUUGUUGGUCUGAUUCAGAGGGUCAACCACUUCAUGUAGACAAAUUGUUUUCCCACAAGAAUGUUAAGUCGCUUUUUUCUGUUUAUUUCUCCUCAUUGAUUUCUUGAUUUCUGUCCUCACUUUCAUAGAUGUUUUAUUUUUGGAUUUGGUGAAUAUCAUGGCAUUUUCAUGGACAUGAAGUAUGACUUUGAUGGUGAACUGAUAUUAAUCUUUAAUGGCAUAGACUCCCACAAAUCUUUCGUUUAACUGGUAACUCAUUAAUUUUCUCAUUCCUCCUUUCUCUUGUUGUUGGUUAUUGGACUAUUUAAGGAAAUUGUCAUUGGUAUAAUUUUGAGAUACUAUAUAUUCUUCAGAAUACAAUGACUAGAUCCCUGAAUCUAAUUAUAUAAUAGCUUCAUUUGUCCACACAAUCUAUAAACACCAACAAGGGGAAGAAGAAAGUUAAUCCGUUACCAGUGAAACUCAACGAUUUGUGUGUCUAUGUCAUUGAGAUACCAUACUAAAGGGUUAACUUUUCGUUCACCACCAAAGUCCCAAUUCCUGUUCAUUAAAAUGCCAUGAUAUACAUCAAAUCCAAAAAUAAAACAACUAUAAAAUAUAGGAUAGAAAACAAGAAACCAAACAUGAGAAAUAAACUGAAAAAUGUUGUUGAACUUUAUUUUCUUGUUGGAAAAUGAUUUGUCCACAAGAUGUGGUUGACUCUGGAAUACAUUUGAAUCCAGCAAAAAAGCAGCAUUUUCCUUGGUUCAGUUUAACUCCUUCCUGCGAUCAUUGUGCUAUAAAGCUUCCUUUUAAAUUUAAUCUUAUAGCUAAUAGUAUCUUCACUAUCUUAUCUUUGAACCUUUCUGUUUGGUUCAGUUUAAUUAACUCCUUCCGUGAUUAUUGAUUAUUGAGCUUUAAAGCUUCCCUUUAAAUUUAAAUGUAUAGCUAGUACUAUCUUUACUAUCUUAUCUUUAUAUUUUGUUGUCUUUGACUCUCUAGGAACAGAAAGAACAUUCUGCAACUACUAGUGGAACCAUACGAAUUUUCAUCCAUAUGUGUCUGUUCUCAUGAAGUAUAUCGUGUUGCAAGUUAAGCAUGUUUGCCAACAGGAGGUUGGUAUAUUCAUGAAUGGGAAUCUUCUUGCCCCAGAAAUGAAGCUCCUUGAUGUGGUGAAGCAAUGGAUGGCUAUUGUUGCUUCAGAGAGAAAAAUAACCAAAGGAUGUUCUUCCGAGAACUUCUGUGUGAUGCUCACUUUUGCUCGAAGAGAGUAGACAAGCAGUGGACAACUAUUUUUGGAAUCACCAGGAAAACAUGGCAAUUGAAAUUUGUUUCUAAUGCUUCAUAAGGGUUUUGAAAAAGGCUACAUAUUUAUCAUUAUAUGAUUGAUCUUGAUCUUUUUUCCAUGAGAUUAUUGAUUUUUCUGGCAA